UUUUCGUUAUCAAUAAAACUCUAAACACUGAAUUAUCGUUCAAACAAUAUUAUUUCAAUAUCACCCCACUUUCGUUCUAUGAUUUGGUUUUAUUAGGGUAGCAAAAGUAUUAUUAAAUUUGGGAAGAUAAUUUUAUUUUUGCAUUCAUGUUUUCAACAGAGUUCAGAGGAUAUUAAAUUUAAAAUUUAAUGCCUAAAUUAUAAAAGUUUGGAUAAUUUUUUUAUACUUCGAAAUACACGAUGAGAUUGGAUUGCAAAAAAAAAAAAGAGGUAGCGAACGAGACAAAAAGCAGGAUUAGUUUAUUGUGGGGAAAACAUAGGGAGGCUGCAGGCAAUGGAAAUGGCCAAUAAAGAAAAAGAAAAGAAAGCGGUUGGUCUACAACUCAGCUGAGAAAAAGUAAAAGAAUGGGGCAGGCCGGUGUGCGGUGGAUGCAGCGUUGAAUCCGUGGGCUAAAAUUAGAUGGUAGAGGAAUUAGUAGCGUCAAUUAAAUAAAUUAAUUA
rnacentral:lncRNA from 1 species